UACGUAGGGUGCGAGCGUUAAUCGGAAUUACUGGGCGUAAAGCGCGCGUAGGCGGCUUUGUAAGUUAGAGGUGAAAGCCCGGAGCUUAACUCCGGAAUUGCCUUUAAGACUGCAUCGCUAGAAUUGUGGAGAGGUAAGUGGAAUUCCGAGUGUAGAGGUGAAAUUCGUAGAUAUUCGGAAGAACACCAGUGGCGAAGGCGACUUACUGGACACAUAUUGACGCUGAGGUGCGAAAGCGUGGGGAGCAAACAGG
rnacentral:rRNA from 1 species